UACAGAGGGUGCAAGCGUUAAUCGGAAUUACUGGGCGUAAAGCGUGCGUAGACGGUUAUGUAAGUCGGGUGUGAAAGCCCCGGGCUCAACCUGGGAAUGCCAUUCGAGACUGCAUAGCUAGGGUGCGGAAGAGGGAAGCGGAAUUUCAGGUGUAGCGGUGAAAUGCGUAGAUAUCUGAAGGAACACCAGUGGCGAAAGCGGCUUCCUGGUCCAGCACCGACGUCAGGCACGAAAGCGUGGGGAGCAAACAGG
rnacentral:rRNA from 1 species